rnacentral:misc_RNA from 1 species
UCCCCGUUUGAGCGAGGCAGUCUGUCCAGAGUGCUCCGAACUCUCGUUCGGGUGGCAACAGGACACAGGGGUUGCGCUCGUUGCGGGACUCAACCCAACAUCUCUCGACACGAGCUGACGACAGCCAUGCAGCACCUGUGCAAGCUCCCCUUGCGGGGUCGUCCCACUUUCAUGGUCCUACCACUUGCAUGUCAAGGCCAGGUAAGGUUCUUCGCGUUGCAUCGAAUUAAGCCACAUACUCCACCGCUUGUGCAGGCCCCCGUCAAUUUCUUUGAGUUUCAAUCUUGCGAUCGUACUCCCCAGGUGGAUCACUUAACGCUUUCGCUUAGCCGCUGACUGUGUAUCGCCAACAGCGAGUGAUCAACGUUUACAGUGCGGACUAC